rnacentral:lncRNA from 1 species
AUCCAGGACCCUACAGACUCUAUGGGGCCAUGUGGGGCCAUCCAGGACCCUACAGACUCUACGGGGCUCUACAAACUCUAUGAGGCAUUACAGGUGCUAUGGGACUCUACAGAUCCUAUGGGGUCCUACAGAGCCCUAUGGGGCACUACAGAUCCUAUGGGGCACUACAGAGCUCUGUGGGGCACUACAGAUCCUAUGGGGCACUACAGAGCCCUAUGGGGCACUACAGAUUCCUAUGGGGCACUACAAAGCCCUAUGGGACCCUACAGAUUCCUAUGGGGCACUACAGAGCCCUAUGGGGCCCUACAGAUCCUAUGGGGCACUACAGAGCUCUGUGGGGCACUACAGAUUCUAUGGGGCACUACAGAGCCCUAUGGGACCCUACAGAUUCCUAUGGGGGCGCUACAGAGCCCUAUGGGGCCGCUAUGGUGUCUCUGUAGGGUAGCUAUGGGGUCUCCGUGGGGCAGCUAUGGGGCUACUAUGGAGCCACUAGGGGGUCUCUAUGGGGUCUCUGUGGGGCAGCUAUGGAGCCACUAGGGGGUCACUGUGGGGUCUCUGUGGGGCCGCUAUGGGGUCUCUGUGGGGCAGCUAUGGGGCCGCUAUGGGGCAGCUAUGGGGCUCACCCGAGGCGUUGGGGUGCAGGCGCUCGUCGUUCAGUGGGGCCAGGAAGUCGCUGCUGUUGAGGUACAGGUCCCGGUGGUGGGGGUCUGUGGGGGGGGGGGACCCCAAAUCAGCCCCACGGCGACGCCCCGCACCCCCACCAUGGGGUUUGGGGGUCCCAGGGGAGGGUUUGGGGGUCCCCCCCCCGGAUAUUUUGGG